UAGGUACUUCUGCUGGUGUCAAUCAUUGGGACUGGAUUAUGUCUAAGCAUCUUCAACCUCACAGGGAGGAGCUUGACCGGAGAAAGAGGCUGAGAACUGCUUCUCUUACCAAGGACCUUCCCCAAGCCAGGCAUCUCCGGAGAUGGUUCAGCAGAGGACACAUCUGGAACCCCUUUCCUGCUGGAGUGGACAGUGGAGGCAGCGCCACAGUGGAUUUUCAUUGGUGUCUCCCCUGGCUGCCUGGUGGCUGCCUGUCAGAGCCAGCGCUUGAGAACGUGGCUGCUAGUGAAAGUGUUUAUGUGUUUAUGUGACCACAGGUAGCAAACAGAUAAGAAACUAUCCGACUGAGGAGCAGCAAGGGUCUGGAGCUACUGCGAUUGGGUGACCUGGGUAGAGACCCUCCUGGAGAUUUCACUCUGACUAGAACUGGAAGGACAAACCCACCGCAGGUAUAGACUCUUGCAUACAAACUGUGUCUUUUUCCUGAGUCCCAUCUUACAACAAAAGACAUACCCAUCAAAUCAGAUUUGCAAUCGAGUUGUUUGUGUCAAAAGAGAAAUGUUGUAAUUAACCUUGAGACUUUUUUCAAGCAGCAGGUUUGCCUUAUAAAUGAAAAAUAAUGAAUAAGCCAAACUGUACCCAGGGGUAUGACAGAGUUUUAACUGGCUUCAUGUAUAGCCAGUGUGGCUGGGAGAAAUGUGAUCUCCAUUUCAUUUCAGAUCUUUCUCUGAACCUUCCAUAUGCAUGCAUGAUGGAAUGGGUUCCCAAAUCCAGCUUGAAAUGUAGUGCAUGACAUACUACCCACGCAAAUAAAAUGAAUAGUUCAAAAUUAUGGGGCACUGACAGAAAAAGCAGACCUUUUAAUAUCUAGUUUCAUUGAGUAAUGCAUUUAAAAUAAUUUGCAAACUGGAAAGGUAAUUAAAAGGGUCCUUUUACUCCCCUAUGCCACAUGUCACAGUCUUUAAUGUUUAAUGAGAGUUGCUCUUUGAGUCUAGGAUUUAGUGAAAGACAUUUGGCUUGGACAAGAACUAAGACAAAUGCUGCUAACAUGAUUCUAUUCAAUUUAGUGCUUUAAAUACUUUCAGGAAUGGUGGAUUAUUUUCAAAGUAAGGUUUGUGGAAGCUGGGAAUUUUGAAGUAUUUUACCUGGAAAUUAUCUAUCGGAAUGCUUCUGUAUGCUUUAAAAAAUGUAUACUCUACAUAUGGACACAAAGAAAGGAACAAGAGACACUGGAGCCUACUUGAGGGUAGAGGGUGAGGAUUGAAAAACUACCUAUUGGGUACUCUGCUUAUUACCUGGAUGAUGAAAUAAUCUGUGCACUGAAGCCCCGCAACACACAUUGACCUAUAUAAUAAAUCUGCACAUGUGUCCCUGAACCUAAAAUGAAAGUAAAAAUAUGUAUAUUCUAAAUGGAAAUUUGUCAAUAUAAAAAACUUCUGUUAAUUUUCUAGAUUAUAAAAUAGUUUGAGCUAACAGAAACCUAUAGUAUUUUUGGUCUUCAUUAAAAACACAAUAUAUUUGUGUAUGAACAUUACAAAGGUAUAUAUUUUGCUACAGAACUGUACAAUUAUCCUCCAUAUCCAACAUAAUAGAGACAACAUUAUUUAUAAUUGUAUGGACAUAGUACUGUAAAAUCGAAAUUUUUAUGUCAGUUUCCUUGACUGAUUUAAAAACCAUUAAAAAUAUAAAUAC
rnacentral:lncRNA from 10 species